AUUUCAAGGGUGUUCUUGCAAGAAUCUGUAAUGCAGAUGACUACUUUCUCCAGCACUGACACUUGCUUAUAAAUGAAGAAACUACUACAGUGAAUAAUGCCCCUUAUGAGUGGCCACUCCAUCUUCUAUCAGAGUAUUUUCCAGUCACUGAUCUUCCGUCCCUGGAGGAAUGAGGCACAUCCAUCAAUAAGAAGGGGUAAAAGGUCCUCUAUAAGUUCCAGCAAUAUGGAGGCUUAGAUUUAUA
rnacentral:lncRNA from 1 species